GCGCUUGAAGCGUACUUAGAGAGGCUCAUCACCAUUAAAAAGUUGACUUUGGCUAGAUGAUCAUCUGCAGAAAUAAUGGGAUGCUAGAAGAUACGUGGAGCUAACUGUGAGUUUUUUCUCAGAGAGCAGCUCUACCAAACAGCAUAUAUUUUUCAAAUAUUUUUUAUCCAUUUAUUGUCUUAUUUGUUUAGAAUUUAAUCAAUAUAAACAAUAUUUAUUAUAAUGAAAAAGGCGAUAAAAGAAUACUAAAUUAAAACGAAAUGCUAGUCAUGCA